AACACAUGCAAGUCGAGGGGUAACAUGGUUUGCUUGCAGACCGAUGACGACCGGCGCAAGGGGUGCGCACCGCGUAUGGGACCUGCCCCUUGCAGGGGAAUAGCCCAGGGAAACUUGGAUUAAUGCCCCGUAGGACCGUUUUGCGGCAUUGCAUUACGGUUAUAGCCUUCGGGCGGCAAGGGAUGGCCAUGCGUCCCAUUAGCUGGAUGGUAGGGUAACGGCCUACCCAUGGCCACGAUGGGUAGGGGCCCUGAGAGGGGGAUCCCCCCACAACUGGUACUGAGACACCGGACCAGACUCCUACGGGAGGCAGCAGUGAGGAAUAUUGGACAAUGGGCGGGAGCCUGAUCCAGCCAUGCCGCGUGCAGGAAGACGGCCCUAUGGGUUGUAAACUGCUUUUGUACGGGAAGAAAAACAGCUACGCGAGUUGACUGACGGUACCGUAAGAAUAAGGACCGGCUAACUCCGUGCCAGCAGCCGCGGUAAUACGGAGGGUCCGAGCGUUAUCCGGAAUCAUUGGGUUUAAAGGGUCCGUAGGCGGGCCGUUAAGUCAGGGGUGAAAUACUGCGGCUCAACCGUAGCACUGCCUUUGAUACUGGCGGUCUUGAGUCAUGGUGUAAGUGGCCGGAAUAUGUAGUGUAGCGGUGAAAUGCAUAGAUAUUACAUAGAACACCGAUCGCGAAGGCAGGUCACUAACCAUGGACUGACGCUGAUGGACGAAAGCGUGGGGAGCGAACAGGAUUAGAUACCCUGGUAGUCCACGC
rnacentral:rRNA from 1 species